rfam:Oryctolagus cuniculus chromosome 9, whole genome shotgun sequence.
GGUGCUGUGGCGCAGUGAGUUAACGCCCUGGCCUAAAGUGCCAGCAUCCCACAUGGGCGCCGGUUCGAGACCCGGCAGCUCCA